rnacentral:rRNA from 1 species
CCUUUAUCCAGUUCAGAAAAAUUAUCCCUUACAGAAGGAACACUCUUGGAUCAAGAGGGAAGUACAAGAUACAGAAGUUUAGUAGGAGCAUUGCAGUAUCUCACUCUCACUAGGCCUGACAUCUCAUUUGCUGUUAACAAAGUAUGUCAGUUCUUGCAUGCACCUACUACUGUUCACUUGACAGCUGCCAAACGUAUAGUCAGAUACUUCAAAAACACAUUGAGCAUUGGUCUAAAUUUUAGCAACUCAGCCUCUACUCUUGUCAGUGCUUUCUCAGACUCUGACUGGGCAGGAUGCCUGGAUGACAGAAGGUCAACUGGUGGGUUCGCAGUAUUUUUUGGACCUAACUUAAUCUCAUGGUGUGCACGAAAAUAG